rnacentral:rRNA from 1 species
UGGGGAAUUUUGGACAAUGGGCGAAAGCCUGAUCCAGCAAUGCCGCGUGUGUGAAGAAGGCCUUCGGGUUGUAAAGCACUUUUGUCCGGAAAGAAAUCCUUGGCUCUAAUACAGUCGGGGGAUGACGGUACCGGAAGAAUAAGCACCGGCUAACUACGUGCCAGCAGCCGCGGUAAUACGUAGGGUGCAAGCGUUAAUCGGAAUUACUGGGCGUAAAGCGUGCGCAGGCGGUUUGCUAAGACCGAUGUGAAAUCCCCGGGCUCAACCUGGGAACUGCAUUGGUGACUGGCAGGCUAGAGUAUGGCAGAGGGGGGUAGAAUUCCACGUGUAGCAGUGAAAUGCGUAGAGAUGUGGAGGAAUACCGAUGGCGAAGGCAGCCCCCUGGGCCAAUACUGACGCUCAUGCACGAAAGCGUGGGGAGCAAACAGGAUUAGAUACCCUGGUAGUCCACGCCCUAAACGAUGUCAACUAGUUGUUGGGGAUUCAUUUCCUAGUAACGUAGCUAACGCGUGAAGUUGACCGCCUGGGGGAGUACGGUCGCAAGAUUAAAACUCAAAGGAAUUGACGGGGU